UACGGAGGGUGCAAGCGUUAUCCGGAUUCACUGGGUUUAAAGGGUGCGUAGGCGGGUUGGUAAGUCCGUGGUGAAAUCCCCAAGCUUAACUUGGGAACUGCCGUGGAUACUAUCAAUCUUGAAUAUCGUGGAGGUAAGCGGAAUAUGUCAUGUAGCGGUGGAAUGCUUAGAUAUGACAUAGAACACCAAUUGCGUAGGCAGCUUACUACACGAUCAUUGACGCUGAGGCACGAAAGCGUGGGGAGCAAACAGG
rnacentral:rRNA from 1 species